AUCUAUUUCCACCACCGAAACCAGUUUUGAUUUACAAAUAAUAAUAUUUCUCUCAUUUUAUUUAAUCAUAUAAAACUCUCAGUGUUUAUUUCGACCCCCGAAAAUCUUUAUCUCUUACCUUGAAUUGUGUUAGAUAUAUAUAUAUACUAAUAGUGGAAUCAUUUUUCAAAAUGUGAAAACGAAAAAACUUGAUGAAGUUUAUGCAGGUCAUUGUCAUGCUAUUGAGUACAUGCUCAUCCAGAGUUCCAUAUAUAGAACCUUGAAGGUCCCUAAUCCUUGAGUCACAUCCUAAAGGCUUUCCUUAGCCUAUCCAACCUGAAGUGAUCUCCCAACCAUUUAGGAAUUUGAUCUCGUUUGCUCUCUAAAGCUUUAACUACUCUUCCGACGUAUUCUCCAAAACA